rnacentral:ncRNA from 2 species
CAAGUGUGCGGAAUCAAUGACCGCGACUCUCAUUUGGUCACUUUAGGGUCGCGCGAGAUAGAGUGAAACCGGCUGCACACGGG